rnacentral:rRNA from 2 species
GGUGGGGGCGUGCUUACACAUGCAAGUCGAACGGAAAGGCCCUUCGGGGUACUCGAGUGGCGAACGGGUGAGUAACACGUGGGUGAUCUGCCCUGCACUUUGGGAUAAGCCUGGGAAACUGGGUCUAAUACCGAAUAUGACCGCGCACUUCCUGGUGUGUGGUGGAAAGCUUUUGCGGUGUGGGAUGGGCCCGCGGCCUAUCAGCUUGUUGGUGGGGUAAUGGCCUACCAAGGCGACGACGGGUAGCCGGCCUGAGAGGGUGACCGGCCACACUGGGACUGAGAUACGGCCCAGACUCCUACGGGAGGCAGCAGUGGGGAAUAUUGCACAAUGGGCGCAAGCCUGAUGCAGCGACGCCGCGUGAGGGAUGACGGCCUUCGGGUUGUAAACCUCUUUCAAUAGGGACGAAGCGCAAGUGACGGUACCUAUAGAAGAAGGACCGGCCAACUACGUGCCAGCAGCCGCGGUAAUACGUAGGGUCCGAGCGUUGUCCGGAAUUA